rnacentral:rRNA from 1 species
AUGACGCAGAUUUUCGGGAUAAGGGAGAAGUGGGCGAAGUCAUAUUUCAAGGGAAUUUUCUGUGUGAAGAUGACAAGUACCCAGAGGAGUGAGAGUGUGAACCAUAUGCUGAAGAAAUAUGUGCCCUCCGGCUCUCCGAUGCAUAAGUUUGUUAGGCAGUACAUGCGGUUGCAGUUUAAUCGUCAAUCAGAUGAGAGUUAUGAAGAGAAGAAAACUAAAAUCGUUCGUGCAUGCCAGGCUCACACAAAACUUUGUUUCUUCAAGGCAGUUUCUAGAUGUUGGUUAAUUCUUUCGUGGUUGGCUUCAUUUUCAGGCAUUAGAGUUGAUCCGAUUGGGAGAUGCCAGUGUGGAAGCUUAACACUGAUGGGACUCAUCAAUAAAGCUAUGAAGGUGAUGGCUCCUUUCGACCAGGCGAGGAAUGGGCUGGGACAGGAGGAUCGUGUCAGUGGCAAGAAGCAAGGCAAUGUCGAUGAAAAAGAAACCAAGGCUGGCGAGGAUGAGUAUGUUGUGCUGCCGGGGCAUAGCAAUCUUUUGGUUGGCCUGGGAGUGCCAUCAAAGAAGAAAAGUGCAGGGAGGCCGACAAACGCAAGAGGCCAGGCACCUUACGAAGGAUUGAUAUGUCUGUUGGAACAAGUGCAAAGGCAACAUCACCUUCUAGCAGAAGAUUUCCCCUGCAUUGACCGCUUCAGAGAUGCACUAGGUGGGUACAACAUCGAUAGUUUUGAGGAGGCCAAGCCAUAUGUACUACUAUUAUGUUGUAUUAGCGAAUCUAGCAUCCGUUCAGAUGAUAUAAGGAAAGUAAACAGAGAUGCUGAUGGGAUUAAUUAA